CGGCCCCGGUUACACCCACAUCCACCCCCAAAGCAGGCAGCAGCCAGGGACCGGGAACACCGGACACAGGGUCAGAGAAGGAGGAUUAAAGGUCCAUCUGUCAGGAGAGAGGAGGUCUGAGGAGAAGGUGUGGACGUUCCACAGUAUGACUCCUCUCCGGCUGGAGGAGCUGAAGCCGGGUGAUGCUGGGUGGAGUCGCUGGUCUCACAGUCGCCUCCUGCAGGAGCUC